GUGGCUCCAUUGAAGUCCACCUCCAUUGAGCUACACCAGCUGAGGAGCUGGCCCAUAAGAUGCAGGGGGAGAGAACACUGCUGUGAGGACUGAAUCUUGAGGUUCCUCAUGAAUGCGGGGAUCUGCCUGCGUGACUCAGAUUGCAAGCACCGAGCGCAGCGGGGUCCUGAUCCAUGACCGAGGCUCCUAGACUCUGCCAUAAAUAAUAAAAAUAAAAAUAGGGCCUUGGCUUAUGAGACCAGCUGUAGGAAUGGCUGGCUGCAGCUCUGUGGCCUGAGCUAUACGAGGGGUCGCUCUGGAUGAUCACAAUGGUCCUUUCUGGCCUGGAAAUCUAAGAAUCCAUGAAUCCAUCUUCCAGUUGGAGGAGGUAUCAGAGAAUUCCCCUUGGUUGCAACGGGUUCCCCCUGUUACUUUCCAUGCCGCCAGUGCCUGCGACUGAGCAUUAAUGCUGGAGCUGGGAAGGCAGAAAGAAAGAGGUUAGAAUCCUAGACAUUGGACCAUCGAUUGCUGGUAUUUCUCCACUGGAAUAUUUACAGGGCACUUAGGGACUGUGGUGGUAACGUCCAGAUAAACAGAUAGACAAUGGUAUGUCUAGGGGUGGACGGAUCACUGAGGACUUCAUUCCCCUUCCAUCCCAUCUUACUGGUAAAUGGAUCCAAACAUUUAUACUCCCGUGAAACUGACGUCCCAGGCCAGAUGGAAGAAGAGAGGGGGCUUGGAGAAGAGGCAAGGGCCCUUGCAAAGAUCUGCUUUCUUCUGCUCACUCGCUUGCACAUGCAGCCUGGGCAGGUUUGCAGAGCUGGGCUGGUGCUGUAGUUAAUACUGGUGCCACAGCGCCUGGGAGCAAUUGCUUUCAUUACCAGCAAGAGCCUCCUUAAAUGCUUAAUUAAAGAUCUGCGGCGGGAGACACUGCCUGGCUGGAAAGCACCCAGAUCGUCCUGGUGAACGGCCAAGCCAGGAUGAACAGCAAGCUGAGGGCCGAGUGGUCCAUGAACCAGGCUGGGGUUUGGGAGACAGGGUGUUUAGCUGAACCUUACACUGGAAGGGGCAGAGACUCUUAUUGUGUGUUGUUCGUACAGCACCCAGCACACUGGGGCUCUGAUCUGACUGGGGCUGUCAUUGUCGAGGCUGACAGGCCCAGGGGCAGCUUCACCCUCUGGAGAUGUUUGCAGAGCCGUUGCACGGCCGAGCCUGGAGUGACGGGCAAGGCACGCAGGGUGACUGACUUUCUCCCGGGGUUGGUGCGCAGUUCCUUUGCUGCUGCGCCUUGCUAGGCGCGUUAUCAGUGCCCUGCUCUGGGAGCUACCGGCUGCCAGCUCCCCCACAGCUGCCUGGCGUGCUUCUAGCUGGCAUGCAGCGCUGUGUUGGUGCAGAGAUAGGAUCUGAUCACAUGUGGCAGAUGGUUUCAUACCCCCCUGCCGGUGCCUGGGUGUGCGUGGGAGGAUCUGGGGCUGAGGGAAGGCCUGCAGCGAGGGAGGGGACAGGUUUGCAGAGCAAAAAAUAAACACACUGAAAAUGAGGGCUGGGCCAACCGGCGUGAGAUCAAGUGAGAAGCGGCCCACACCUUCCCUCUGAGCAGGAUCUGAGCUGUCCCCUGGAGUCCUGGCUCCCAGUCCCCUGCUCCGACCAGUCACACUGCUUAGUUGUGAGACAGUCGUGUCCCCACCCCCCCGGCUCCCUGCAGGGGAUUCUUUAUGGUCCCCCCAGCCCACCACAGGGCCUCUGAGCUGCAGGAGAGCAACAGCUGAACUGGUUUAAGUCUGGCUAAGAUCCGGUGAAUAGGUCCCCUCGUCCCCUCUGGGUGCUGGCCAGAGCCCCCAAGGGAAGGGAGGUAUCACUGAAACCCAGUGACUGAGAGGCUGACAGGGGCGAUGGAGCAGCGCCACCCUGUGGCUCCUCUCAGCCACUGCAAGCGGCUGAGCUGGCUGGCUCUGGAGUGGGGGAGGGGAAGGCUCUCUGUAAGGACCCAGAAAGCCAGAGUCUGGUUUCAGUGGGCCGGUCGGUCAGGUGAGAACAAGCCGGGGUGCUUUCCCCACCAGCUGCCCUGCCCGGUGUGGCUCGGGCAGGGUGACAGCCCUCAUGCUGCAGGGCACAGGGACAGGAAGAAUUCUUCUCCCCCCGAUCCUACCACGUUGUGCAAUGAGCUAGCUGCUGUGCUGAGUUACAGAGGUGCUGGAAGCAGGAUGCUGGACCGUGGGCUGGCUCUUCUCCCAUGGCACCUCUCUUCCAGUGAGAUCAGGCAAUCUCUGAGCACUAGCCAGCUGCGGCCAAAGUGACAGGGCCCAGCAUGGACACCAGAGGCCGGGCUGGCUUUGCUCAUGUGCCUGGGAGCCCACUGAAAGCAGCAGCAUUGCAUGGGAGACCAGAGGGCUGGGUCGCCCCCGAGAUGAGUGCCCCUUUCUCCUGCCCACGUUCCCAGAGCCCAUCUUGGCUCAUUUGGGAGCCACGAAGACCAUGUUGCUGAGCGGCUCCGUGCAUUAGGGUGAACAGGAGAGACUGCAAACCCGGGGAACAAAAAUCACCAGGGUGGGAAAUGCAGCUAGUGUAGGGGAAUCACACUCCAAUACUCUGUGGGAGGCAAAACACCGAGAUGCUGAAAUAGACCCAGAAUGGGGGGGCGUUUGCUUUUUCUGUCAUGUCCUCCAAGGGCGGGGGCAUCUGCCUGCAGAUCCCGUUAGUCUGCCCCAGCGCACGACCCGAUACCUACAGCGGCACCAAUCCCCACUUCCAUGCACGUAGGAAUGAAGCCGCCCACCCUGAACCUGCUCUGCCGGCACCAUACGCAGCGGCUCGGCUCACCCUGGACACAGUACCCAAGGGCUCCAGACUCUGCACUGGCUCCCAGCUGUCCUGACAGGCAAAGCCUCCUGGGAGAUUGGCUCUCGCUCCUCCCAUGCCAGUGAUUUUUCCCAGGUGGCUACGCUCCACUGAGACAAUGCAAUGGGGAGGCUCCCAUGUGUGGGAACCUCCCCGGGAGCUGAGUUUAGACUCUGGAACUCAUGGCCACAUGAGCUAAGGAUCACCACAGGCGUCUGUUCAGAGCUAAAUGCAAACCCCCUCUCUUCCUUCACAUGCAUCUGCAACUGCAUAGACACACAGCCAGCCCCACUGAACCAUACACAAACCAAGGUGCUUCUCCUACAGACCGGGCAGCCGCAAACAGCUGGGAUCCCUGGACCCUCAUCCUGGGGUGGGGGUGUGGGGAUCCCAGAACCCCUACAUGGUGUGUUAAUCUCA